UUUCUACCUCUGGUUCUGGGGGAUCCAAGUGCCACAGUGGGUCUUAUAUGGCUGAAGCACUAGUACAGCUCCUUACGAACUCGUACUGCUCCCAGCUAUCUGUCAAGACUCAAAGACGUGAGGAACUGGCUAUUAAGCAAUCAAAGCAACUGAUACCAGUGACACCUACGAUGCCUAAGGGUUCGGUUCUCAAUUCAGGGAUAAAUCAAAAAUCAAACAGCACUCAGAGCAAGUGAGAUGAAUAUAGCUGUCAAGAAUGGCAAGCAGCAACCUUCUUUGAUUCAUCAUGGUACUCAAUCUACUCAUGGUGGACAUGUCAAGUCAGAUACGCCAAAGACAUCUGGGACGCUUUGGUUCUCAAACCAG